rnacentral:rRNA from 1 species
CUACGGGGUGCAGCAGUGGGGAAUAUUGGACAAUGGGGGAAACCCUGAUCCAGCAAUGCCGCGUGUGUGAAGAAGGCCUGCGGGUUGUAAAGCACUUUCGGUUGAGAGGACUGCUUCUAGCACUAAUAUUGUUGGAAGUUGACGUUACCUUCAGAAGAAGCACCGGCUAACUCCGUGCCAGCAGCCGCGGUAAUACGGAGGGUGCAAGCGUUAAUCGGAAUUACUGGGCGUAAAGCGCGCGUAGGCGGCUAGAUCAGUCGGGUGUGAAAGCCCCGGGCUUAACCGGGGAACUGCAUCCGAUACUGCCUAGCUUGAGUACAGGAGAGGAGAGUGGAAUUCCACAUGUAGCGGUGAAAUGCGUAGAUAUGUGGAAGAACACCAAUGGCGAAGGCAGCUCUCUGGCCUGAUACUGACGCUGAGGUGCGAAAGCGUGGGGGGCAAACAGGAUUAGAUACCCGGGUAGUC